ensembl:lncRNA LOC120096312 uncharacterized LOC120096312
CACCAGGGCCUUUCAUCAAAAGCAGGGCCCUGGCACAUCCCUCUGGAGCAGUCUCUGAUGAGUGCUACUGACUUAUCUCCGAGUCACUAUUAGUGACAUUCAGGGCAGGAUGACCUUCCUGUUCGGGGCUGUGCCCAGGUCUCAUCUGCAGGACUCGCCAGCAGCAGGUGUAUUUCAUCUCCUGGCUCCAAGCCUCGGUCUCUGAGAAGAGCCACCCAUACUCCAUCAGUGACAUCACCUGGAACCACCUGGAGAGAGGGGAUCCCCGCCUGCAAAAUGAGACCCUAUCUUCUGCCUGCUUUCAGGUCGGUGCCUGCUGGUAGCAAGCCAUGGGCUGUGGAGCUUCGAUUUCCUCACUGUGUAGCUGAGAGAGACAGUGUGAAGAUUGGACUCAAAUCAUAGGGAAUGCAUAGACUGCCGGGUCUCUCGCUUAGCCUGUUUUCUCCAGCGAGUACAGAAUUGUAUUGAUUGUCAUGUGUUUUCUUGGGACUGGGCACACGGCCAUCCAUUUGUUGAGAUUUGCCAGCAUACAGUCUGGUAAAUGUAGACGCUCUAUAGCAAGGAACUAACAGCAGGUACCUAACCUGCUAAACAUUUUUUUUAAACAUCAUCAUCAUCAUCACCACCACCACCAUCAUCAUUCACAAUGUUUAACUAUGUAGCCCAGGAUAACCUGGAACUUGUGAUGUUCAUAUCUCCAUCUUCAGAAUCCAGGGACUACAGACCCAUCAACAUGCCCUACAAUUGUGGGAAAAUUUAUGAAGGUAACUUUUACCUUUGGAAGUUUCUGGAAAAUAGACAAAUAGAAACCCACAAUGAAAAUGCUACCAUACCAUAAGUCCACAGUUGAAAUUUACAGUUGCUCCUAAGUGCAGUGACUCUUAAUGUUUGUUGGUUCCUUCUUGAGCUUGGCCACAUCUUACCUGUGUGACCUGGAGAGAGUUGCUUAACCUCUAUGUGAUUUCAUGUCUGCGUCUUUAAAAUCAAGUAUAGGAAAUCCUUCCUGGAGUCACUGUGAACAUUAAAUGAGUUUGAAAUAUAAAACUCGGGCUGGAGGAUAACUUACUCCCUAAAUUGUUUGCUGUGCCAUCAAAUGCAGGACCUCAUGCAGGGGACAAAUAAUUUGGAUGUGGUGACACUCCUGUGCUUAUAAGCCCCAAAUUAGAGACGUUUCCCUAGGGCUUGCUCAUCAUAGCCUACUUAACUGAAGAAUUCCAGUGAGAAUCUCAAAUAAUAAGGUGGAUGACAUCUGGGGACAACACCAAAGGUUGACUGCUGACCUCCAUAGGCUUGAACACAUGCACAUGUAUGUCAUGAACGCACGUGCGCGCGUGCGCACACACACACAC